AUAGCUUUAGGGCUAGCCUCAAGGUGAGAGAUACGGAGGUAGAGCACUGAAUGUCCUAGGGGGUAUUGCACCUACCGAAGACUAUCAAACUCCGAAUGCCGUCAUCUUAUACUUGGGAGUCAGACUGUGGGUGAUAAGAUUCAUAGUCGAAAGGGCAACAGCCCAGAUCGUCAGCUAAGGUCCCUAAAUGUAAGUUAAGUGGGAAAGGAUGUGGGAUUGCACAGACAACCAGGAUGUUGGCUUAGAAGCAGCCACUCAUUCAAAGAGUGCGUAAUAGCUCACUGGUCGAGUGAUCCUGCGCCGAAGAUUUCCGGGGCUAAAACUUACUAC
rnacentral:rRNA from 1 species